UUCAUGUUCUAAUCGGAAGCAGAAACUCGGAAAUGUAUUUUCUAACUGGUAGUUAUACACGUGCCGCGUUGAACCAGUUAGCAUGUCGGACAUUUCCGAGUUUCCUACCUCAGACUAGUAUGUGAACGCGGCAUUAGGAUUUGCUUGUCAGGUGUGAAAGUAAACAGAGAGGAAGAGGCGAGAAGUGUGCAGGAGAGCAUGAGACGAAGGAACGUGAGAAGUAUCGGUGGAGAAAGUUGUAUGUGUGUGUAAAUUGUGGCUGGAGAUCGGAGGUGUCAGGGGAUUUGGGCCUGUUUCUGGGAGAGCAGUAUAUCCUUCUCGUUGGACUCGUUAAAGGAAAAAGUUUCUUCCAGUUCGUGGACUACUCCCCCACUGUGUCGAGGCAGCGCGCAGCUUUCGGGCCGACCAAACAACUACCACGGGACCAUCCAGCUGUGAAGUACAGAAUGCGAUUCUCGGCCCAUCUAUGGCUUUCUCAUAAUGGAAAAGAUUUGACCUUUGAUUCUCCGGAGGAGACUAUGGCUCACAUUCAUCUCACAUCAAGAAGUCUUGAACUUGCUCAUAGAUCAGCAACUGUUGCUUCCUAACUGUGGAUAGUAAGUAAGUAGUAGCCCACCUGUGGUAUAACUAUGUUUAGUUAUAACUGUACUGUUCCUGUAAAGUUCGGGAGUUGGCGAACCCAGGUGAGCUACUACUCACGCUUAUUUGAUGUGAUCGAAUGUUUUGAUCAUCUAGUGUCCUUGCCUUAAAAGCAUUCAGUCAUUUUUAUUUCAUUUUAUUAAGGUUUUACGUAAUUCCUUUAUUUCUAUGCUGUCUCAAUGACCUAUUCAGUAUGUUUACAUAUUAUCUCAUUGACUUUUGGUUAUUUGUUUACCACAUCCAUUUGUCUCGACCCAGUAAACAGUAAAUGUUCUGAGGCUACAUGUUUUUGGGGGUCUUUACUUCAAUGUUGAAGGCUUUGAACAUAAUUUAUACCCAGCAAACGUUCAAUGUUGCACAGAUGUAGUUUUGUGGUCUUGGCUGUACAUUGUCACAUCGUCCAACUAGAUUUUUUUUCUGGGGAUGUUUUACUACAAUUUGCUUACUUCAAAUGAGAGUUUUUUGGCUGAGAGCCUUAGUACAUUUUAUUUAUUUUCUCUCUCAAUACCUGUUAUAAGACUGGGAAUAUAAUUUUAUACAUUUGGUGCUUUUAAAAUUUUGUUUGGACAUGGGAUUCACUUUUCUUUUUUUUUUUUGCUGCUUGAUUCAUUAACGCAGAACGCUACUUUAAGUGGCGGGACUGUGGGUUUGGGUUUAACACCACACUCUCACACACAUACUGUGUGAAGAAAACAUGUUUGUACCUCAUUUGGGGAGGUAUUGUCUGGGGUGGGGAGAGGAAGGAGUUCGAAUUGUUCAGUUCAAAUGUUGUCAUUCUGUCUUAGUUUUUUUCCUGUACUUUUUCCAAGUAUUUUAUACCGUACAUUAUUACUCUGAGUAAUAAGUUAUCCUGGGGUUUUUGGCUAUUCAUUGUUUUUCCACUCUAUGCUCUAAUGACAGGGUUGUAUAACGGGAGUGCUCAGGGUGGCCGAAAUAAUACCAUCAAGUACAAUUCAUGGAACAUCAAAUGGGCUAACAAGAGGGUGCUGACACAUUUUAAAGGGUUUGAACGCAAAUUUAGCAAGAGGCUUUCUUGAGGACUGGUGAGCACUUUAAGAUUCACAGGGACUGGGUUGGUCAACUGUGUCACUCAGACUUUCAUAGUAAAUCCAAGGGUGCUGCCAUUUUGGUUGAUAAAUCUACUCCCUUUGUAGCUUUUGAGGUUACUGCUGAUCCUAAGGGACAGUACGUCAUAGUAACUGUUAAACUUUUCUACCCCUCUAGUUUUGGCUAGUGUUUAUGCCCCCAAUUGGGAUGACACACGUUUAAUUUCUACCUUUUUAUUUGCUAUAUCCAAUGUAGAUUCCCAUUUGUUGAUUUUAGGGGGGGAUUUCAACUGUACAAUAUCCCCAGUUCUUGACAAGUCCUCACAAAGAACUACAGGCCCAUCUAAAUGUGCCCUACUCAUUCAAUCUUUUAUUCAGAAAUAUGCUAUGUGUGAGGCCUGGCGUUUCCUAGACAGUAUUCCUUUUUUUUCUCACGUUCAUCAAACACUCCCGCAUUGAUUACUUCUUUUUGGACAAAAAACGCCUGCCUGUACUUUUGAGAGUAUUGUCAUUUCUGACCAUUCACCAUUAGUGCUUGAACUAGAGUUUCCCCAGAAACCUCCUAUGUGUUAUCAAUGGCGUCUUAACUCCAUUUUAUUCUCAGAUAAGGAGUUUGUCAAUUUCAUUUCUUCUGAAAUCGCCUUAUUCCUAGAAAUUAAUUCAACCGCAGGUAUGUCCUGCUCUUCCAUAUUGGAGUCCUUCAAAGCAUACCUACGUUGCCAAAUUAUUUAUUAUACAACCAAUAAAAACAAAGCUCGCUCUCAGCGGCUUCGAGACCUGAGCAAAGCCAUAGCUACAUUGGAUGAGAAGUAUGCCACAAAUCCUUCCUCUGAUCUAUAUAAAGAACGCCAGCUACUCCGAUCUGAAUUUGACGAGCUCUCUACCAGACAAGCUGAACAAUUACUCUUAUGUGGUCGAUACAGAGUGUAUGAGCAAGGCGACAAUGCCAGUAAACUACUUGCACAUCAGAUCUGUAAAUCUGAGGCCUCACGUUUAAUCCCACAAAUAAGGACCUGUCUGGUGCUACCAUAGUUAUACAUACAGAGAUCAUGGAUCAAUUCAAACAAUUUUACUCUGCGCUAUACACCUCCGAAUCUCCUCAAGACCCUUUGUUGAUCGAUUCGUCUGAACAUGCCUUCAAUUGAUACAGACUCCCAUGACGGUUUAGAAGAAGAAUUUACACAUGGAGAUUGCAACUACAGUAUCUGCAAUGAAAAUGUUUUCCGGUCUGCUUUGCCCAUUCCUGUCUUGAUUAUUUGCAGAGUGCCUUAAUACAUCAAAGCUACCGCCUAGUCUUUAUCAGUAUUAUCAUUUCAUUACUAUUAAAGAAAAACAGAUCCCCUGGAAUGUGGAUCUUAUCACAUCCUGGAAUGUGGAUCUUAUCAUCAUCUCACUUUUACACUGCAACUACAAAAUCCUAGCCAAGCUCUUAGCCAUCCGUAUUGAAGGCUCGCUGCACCAAGUAAUACACUCUGACCAGACUGGCUUUAUACGAAAUAGGCAUUUGUUUUUCAAUAUUAGACGCCUUAUGAAUAUACUGUACUCCCCAGCGUCGGGGGAACCCGGAGGUGGUGGUCGCGCUCGAUGCGGAAAAAGCUUUUGACCGCUUUGAAGAUUUGGCUUUGGUCCCAAAUUCAUUGCUUGGAUAAAGAUGAUUUAUUUCUCAACCAUUGCUUCAGUACGGACUAAUAACUUGUCCUCUGACUAUUUUCCCUUGCACUGUGGAUCCAGACAAGGCUGUUUUUUUUGUAAUCGAGCCCCUCAACGUCGUAUUGCGCAUUAAUAAUGCGAUUCAAGGUAUACUCAGGACAGGCUUAGAUCAGAAAGUCUCGCUAUAUGCUGACGACCUUUUGUUUAUCUCCAACCCUGAUACCUCAUUACCACGCCUUAUCUAUUCUUAAACAGUUGAUUUGCUGUACAGCUUUUGGAUCGGGUUCAGCGCGAACUGAAAAUUGUAGGGAGAGAGGAUUGCCAUAAAUUAAUAUGCAGCUCCAAAUUAUUUUUGAAUAUGUUGAUCAAGAACAUGAACAUUUUACUUUGCAAGCUCACCAGCAAUGCAGCAUAAAGCAACAAUUACUAGCAUAGGACUGCUGGUCUUUUGAAUGCAAGACCUGGACGUGACUGGAGACUCGACCCAUUCUACUGGAGACUCGACCCAUUCUACUGGAGACUCGACCCAUUCUACUUGGGACUCGACUUGAGACUUAGAACUUGCUUGUGACUCAAAUAAUUUGACUCGAAAACCGAUAUGGUACCGAGUGCACUUAAAAUAUGCAGCAUGCAAUACGAAUUGUCUUGAUCGUAUGAAGAGGUACUCCGUUAGCCAUUUAGCCAAUUUAUUGAAAGUGAGGCCAAUGUUAGUUUGACUAGCCUAGCCAGCUACUGUGUAAAUGUCAAGUUGCGUUUUAUUAGCUAGCUAUCUCUGUCAGUGAAUAAAACAUUUUUAAUCAUGUUUUGGCAUGAUUGUCUAAUUUUAAGUAACUAGCUGCAGGCUUAAAGAAACAUUCAAUGAUAUACUUUGCAUAGAACCCGAAUAAAAGUAUGUUGA